rnacentral:rRNA from 1 species
UUGGGUGACUCUAGCGAGGGGGUCCCACCCGUUCCCAUCCCGAACACGGCAGUUAAGCCCCUCAGCCCCGAUGGUACUGCACGCGCCAAGUGUGUGGGAGAGUAGGAAGUUGCCCAAU